GCAGCAGGACGGUCGUGUCGCUUGCCGAUGGUCCCCCGUGGAUCGGUGCGGCAAGAGGAAAGUCCGGGCAACAAAGAGCACCAUACUCUCUAACAGUGAGCUGUCGGCGACGGCAGAGUAACGUGACAGAAAACAACUGCCUCUCUCCCCCGCGGAGAGCGGUGAGGGUGAAAAGGUGGGGUAAGAGCCCACCGGGUGGUGUGGCGACACACCAUGCCGCACGUCUUAUGGGUUGCAAGGCCAUGUAUACCGGCAAGCGGCGGUCCGCUACGCGGACGCCGCGAUGGGUUGCUCGCCCAUUGCCGGGGGGUAGGCUGCUCGAGUGCCGAACAUGAGUGCGAGGCACCGCUUAGAUAAAUGACUGCGACCGCCGCGGCAACCUGUCAGAAUGCCUGACGAGAAGUCCCGCGACGACAUAACCCGGCUUAUAGUCCGGCUGUAUCG
rnacentral:RNase_P_RNA from 1 species